rnacentral:lncRNA from 1 species
GAAUCAUGACCAACUUGGACUGGAUAAACCUCCUCUUCGGAGUCAAUGCUUGGAUUCUUAAGGUGCUCAAUGAAGAUCCUUCCUAGUUUGCCGCAUCCAGAGAUAGCAAGUCAAGACAAAGAAUCAGCUCGGACAUUCUCCAAGUAGAGGAUAUGGAAGAUCUCAAAAUAGUCAAAAUAUGCUUGUAAAGAUUUGAGCUUUUAUAGAUACCUAAUAAGGAUAAGGUCUUGGG